GCUGGCGGCAUGCUUUACACAUGCAAGUCGAACGGCAGCGGGGUAGUGCUUGCACUACUGUCCGGCGAGUGGCGAACGGGUGAGUAAUAUAUCGGAACGUACCGAGUAAUGGGGGAUAACCAAUCGAAAGAUUGGCUAAUACCGCAUACGUCCUAAGGGAGAAAGCGGGGGAUCGCAAGACCUCGCGUUAUUCGAGCGGCCGAUAACUGAUUAGCUAGUUGGUGGGGUAAAGGCCUACCAAGGCGACGAUCAGUAGCGGGUCUGAGAGGACGAUCCGCCACACUGGGACUGAGACACGGCCCAGACUCCUACGGGAGGCAGCAGUGGGGAAUUUUGGACAAUGGGGGCAACCCUGAUCCAGCCAUGCCGCGUGUAUGAAGAAGGCCUUCGGGUUGUAAAGUACUUUUGUUAGGGAAGAAAAGGGAAGUGCUAAUACCACUUUUUGCUGACGGUACCUAA
rnacentral:rRNA from 1 species